GGAGGCCAUAGUUCACUGGUAGAGCAUCUGCUUUGCAUGCAGAAUGUCCCAGGUUCAAUCCCUGGCAUCUCCG